rnacentral:lncRNA from 1 species
CUGUGACCAAGGAGAUGGUGCAGCUACGUCUCUGGAGGUCUCAUCAGCUUGGGAUGGUUUAGGUGGGGUUUGCAUUGUUGCUCCCAUAGGUCUCUCCAGAGCACUCAAGCGACUGAAAACAUCUGUUAUCACUGUCAAAAAUGGAUGUAUCCCCCAUGAACCAGAGGAGAAUCUGCUUGAAUUUUGCAUAAGGCAUGUAGCAAAGAGCAAUCCACAGGAUCCAAAAAACUCAGAUAAUUGUCUCUUUUCUCAAGAAAUCUACUCAUUGAUGCUGAGAUGCCAGUGUGCAUCACUGAGAAGCUACAUUGGGAUACACGUGGCCAGUGAGAUACAAGCUGAAGGCAGCAGGGGAUCAAGUGGCCCAGGAGUCCCACCAGUGGAAUUGCUAUUAAUCAUGAUCAUUUACCUUCCCGAGAGGAAAAAAUAAAGUUAACGUGUGCAAAC